UUUUGUAGUUUAUUUACUACAACUUAUGAGAAGUGAUGAAAGAAUUUAUACAUAGGCUACAAAUAAAUACCAUUUUAAUACACGGAUGACAAGUUUACUCUGAUUAUUUAUGAUUUUUAAUAGUAGAAACUCUCAAAUAUAGUGUUCUCCUAUAACGCAAUUAUCUAGAAGCUUCCAAAUGUAGCCACAGGUUAAAAGAAUCAGAAUAGUUUCACACCGCGCCAACCAAUUUUUGCCAUAUGAAUGGACAGUAAUACCCAUUGGUUUUGGCAACAUUUACGUACACCUGCAUUUCCAUCACCCAACAAUUGAAGGGUACCCCCUUUCCCCAAAACCCUAGUUCGGCCACCCCCUCCCGCCAACAGUUUGCAAGGACAUCUCCCUGACUACCAUCCCCGCUUCAAGAUCCAGCACCACCACAACCUUCC
rnacentral:lncRNA from 1 species